UUUUUCCAGUUUCACUUCGAACGUCAUAAACAUCUGUCAUACAUUAUUAUUCGCUCUCGCUUGUCCGUGCCCGCAAAUGUAGGCGGAGUUCACAAUAUUUUUUAGUUUAUCGUUCUCGUUCCACUUUUCGAUAUCGUUCUUUUAUUUUUAAAUCCAGUGCUGAGUGCUGUGCUUUACGCUUUCAUCCCCACAGUGAUGUGUUUCGAAAUCUGUGCAUAAUUUCUUUUUGAUAUGCUUUUGUGAUUAUGAUGUCAUAUUUUUGCUUAGAACCUUGAAAGAUGAGUGUUAGUGUCGAAGCGGACGUGUCCAGUCCUCUAUCUGAAGGGCAGAGUGGCACCUUGGAUCGAACAUCGAAAUCUUCGUCCGAUAGCCUUACAUUGAGCAAAACUGAAGAUGUCGAGGCCAGCCAAGAAAAAGAUGAUAAAUCUGAGCCUUCUACACCUAAACCCCAUCCGAUGGCGUUCACCAUUGAUUUUGGUGAUGCGAAACGUGUGGACAAUCGUCGAUUGGAGGAAUUGGCAAAAAAAUCGCAGGCUAGACAUCAGAGGGUCCAAUCCAUGUCUGCAAGCCUAACUAGGCCAUCUCCAGUGCCUCAGAAAACGCCAAUGAGUGCUAAACUGCCUAGAAAAGCUCAAGGAUACAACUCUGAAGGUUACUUCUCGUCAGACCAGGAAGAUAGUGGCCUCUCAGGGUCUGUGAAACUCCGAAGUAGUCCUCUCUCCCAAUCCAUGCAUGUGACCUCCCCUGUAAUUAAUAACAGGCACACUAAAUCCCCAAUUACUGAGACUUUGCAAAUGAAACGUACCUCCAAAAGUCCAAUAGUUGAUAGUAUAAUGUCAAGAAGUGAUAAUUUCACAGCAAGACAAAGUUUGAACCUGCCUCUGAAGAGUCCUACAAGUUCCUAUGUACGAGACAUUCAUAGAACCCCAAGUUAUGGUAAUUUAUCAUCGUCUUAUCAGCCUAAACAUAGUAGUAUAUCUGAUAUAAUUGAUCAAAGUCCUGAAGGAGUUAUGUUGACUGAUAUAUCUAGUCCAGAACUAGAUAUUUUAACCCCUGACAAUGGCUUGUCCACUCCAGAUCAUUCCAGAAGCCCUUUAAUACGAAAGGGUAGAGCAUCAUCAGAAACACCAGAUUUGUUUAAGAAAUGUAUCCCAAAAGUAGAGCCUUUAUAUGUCGAUGAUGAAGUUGAUAGACAGUCAAAUAACUCGUCAACUGGUACAUACACUAUUGAAGGUGAUAACUAUACAGAAGAGCAGAAAGCUAGGAUGAGUAUAGAUCGUACAUUCGGUACACAUUUAUUAAAUGAUACAAUAGAAGAAACCUUGCAGGUUCAAAAUGCCGACAGAGAUCCUGAUAUAGUUUUUGACUUUCCUUCCAUUCAGAGAGUUAUCACGAAGGAGCCUCGACGGGAUGUUGCAUUAAGAAGCCCAUUAACGAAUAAAACAUUUGAUUUACCAAAUAAAGUGUCGAAAGACAAAAAUGUGUUAGAAAUAUCCUGUUGCUAUGAAUCGCCUACGGAGAAUGACUUAGCUGCCCAAACAUCUAAGCAGAUCAAAUCUACUCGUAGUUAUUUAGAGAAAAUAAAGAAUAGGGUACGUACAAUAACUGAAAAGACUUUUGCUAAGUCACCACCGAAACAUGAUGAGGAAGUGGACGUUGGGAGCUUCACAUCAGUGACCACUUCUGGUGUGUUGAGCUCUAAGAACCUCCCGAAAGUGGAGAUACAGAGUCGGAGAAGGUGUAGUUUGACCAAAUCUGAGAUUGACCAAACUGAUUAUAUACAUAGGUUGUCGAGGGAGUCAUCAGUGCCUGUCUGUCUUCCAAGUAACAGGGUACCUUUGGAUGGUGCAAAAUUUGAGAGCACUGCCUUAAAGAAUGCUCAGAAGGCGUUGAGAGAUGAUUCAGGGGUCUCCUCAGAUAUUACUCCCGACCAGGUUGUAGGGAAGCUGUCAUAUUUGAGCCUGAAUAGAUGUAAAGGGGACAAAACAUGGAUCCAGGAUUGGGCGGAGAGUGUUAAGAAGUACAACCAUGAUGGUACAUUUACGAUAGAUUCCGAGCGGCCGCCAAUGAGUCCGAGGCACGUCCAGGGAAAACCCCGAAGCCCUCACAGCGUUACCCCAACUAAGAUACCGAGCCCUGUGGGCACGCUUCUGAAUAGGCGGACACCGGACCUAAUUCCAGUUCAGGACACCGAAUCUUAUUUGUUGAAGACACAAAACGCUAUAACAAAUCUACAAGCGAAGAUCCAAUCGUCAAGGACUAACAAUUUCUCGAACAUUCCCUCCCAACUCACCUCCAGUCUCAUCAGCGAGAAAACAGCUGUCUCCCGGCUUCCUGUGUCACAACUAAGUAGAUCUAACUCAUUGAAUUAUCGUCUGAGAAGAAAAGACACUUCCAACGACAGUAGCCCACUGAGAAGUCCAGGACAUUACGUCAUAACGGGCUCUUCGAAAAUUCCCGAAAGCACCAAAAUACUCUUGAAUGCUGCGUCAAGAUCUUUAGACACCGAGAGGCGGAGAAGCCGCGAUUCCAACAUGAACAGUCCUUGUUCUGAGAGAGGCCUUCUAAGUAAUAGUUCGGACGAUAAGACACUAUCAAAUAAACCGCCAUACGACGUCAAUACGUUACUGUCGCCUGCAAGAAAAGCACACACGCGUCACAGAACGUUCGAAGGUAGAAACACACCGGAAUUCUGCACGGAUGCGAAUAACGCGAAUCAAACUGUAAGUCUAAAGACUGUACUCAAGAACAACGCCUUAGAUUCUAAGUAUCCGAGGAUUGAUCAAACACGUUGCCAAGGAGACAAGAAGCACCAAAGAGUGUUCAGUGAUGGGAAAAAGCCCAACAAUGUUGCGUUUGGAUCCUCAAUCAAGCGGUCUAGUUCUUUCAAUACAGUUAAUAAGAAUAACAAUUAUUUGGAUCCUAGCAGAAAUGUGUUUAGGAGAUCCAGCGGUCAUUCAGACGAGUAUAAAGAUGAUUAUUUAUCUGAUGAGUCUGAUAAUGGUUCAUUUCAUAAAUCGCAGGAGUUGAGGUAUAAGAGGCCUGUACAUCGAGGCAGGAUAGACUCGCCUGAUUUGAAGUCGAUCGCCCCAGCGAACUCUCCGAGAUGUCCUAACACUCCGGAAAUGCAAAGGAAGUUUGGGCCGGGGCUUGUGAGAAACUCCGGUAGGGUGACAAACAAAGAUAGGCUUAUUAACACGAGGAUGUCUGAGCCCCCAGUUGCAAGGGAAGACAGAGGGAAGCCGACUAACCAUCAAAGUCGUAGAAUAUCAGAGCCAACAAGACAAGCUGUAUUGAAUAGGCUGACUAAAUCCAGGUCGUCCACGAGGGAGUUGCCGACGAAUAAAAAUCAAGAAAAAGGUCAAAAGAAGCCCAGCCAGCACCGGUCGUCUUCCGCCCUCGCCACCAAAGAGAUCGAGUUCUCCAACUGGAAGAAACGCUCCUCGUACGACCCCAUGAAGGCGGCCCAGGAGGGCAAGCGGCGGCAGCAACUAGCCAAGAGGCAGGAUAACAAGGACGCUCUAAGUUCACCCAGUCACUCGUCUCCGGUACAUCGGUCACAAUCGUUCCAUACGACUAACAUCGCUGACCUAGAGACCCUGGACUACUCCUCCGAGGAGGACGAUCAGAUGCUGGCCCUACCAGUGGACCCCAUGAUCACAUCGACCCACUCCGACAUCCUGGACUUGAGAACAAACAGAGAGAACCUGAGACGGCAGGCGAUGAACAACGAAGUUGUGCUAGCCCGGGACUAUAUAACCAACUUCCAGGUAAAUCAGCAACCAGACAAGACAAAACGCCGCGACCCCGACAAACGGAAAACAUUCAUAAUUGACGACAUCACCCCGACCAAAGACAACGUAGACUUCCUGCCCAAAAGGGACGAGGCCGUAGACAAGCGGAAAACGUUCAUUCUGGACAGCGAUACGAAUUCGACGACUAACGGCAGUAGUCCGAGGAACUCCUCGAUAUUCAGCCACGAGAAGAAUUCGCUGACGACCGGCACUAGUGACACGGAGGGCGAGAGCGGGACGGAGAGUGCGCCGGUGGUGAUGCGCCACCCGGCCGGGAAGAGGGCGCCUGCGCAGGCCAAACAGAGGUACAGCGGUGACUAUUCAAUGUCCUCGUCGACGACCUCUAUAAGCCAGAAGCGGCCCAAAGAGAUCCAGCCUCGUUAUCUCGACAUAUCCAAAUAUAAGUCAGAGAGCUCGCCCAAGAACUUCUUGCGGCGAGAUCCGAGCAAGACCUACGUUGGGGUGCUGCCUAAUUGUGACAGGGGUAAUGUCAGUAAGGGGAGUGCACAGCACUACGAAAUGGAACAAAAGAAGCAAGAAUUAGAGAAGUGGAAACGAAGAGCAUCAUACGAUCCGAGAAAAGCCGCGGCGCUCGGAAAAACAAAUAAAACGCCGCCAAAAACUGCCAGAGCGUGACAGAUGUCAAAGUGCAUGCAAAUAUGGCCAAAGUGAUAAGUGGGCAGCCAUCUUGUUUCGUAAGUGUCCUACGUUCUCAGUCGUUCCAUGGGCCCGUACUUGUGUCUACAAGUCUUCGCUACCAACCACCGCCCACGCAAAUAACAGAGAACUACGACCAUUCGAGCGACAACGACUUCUAACGCGACCGCUUAAAGUCGACAAUACGAUGGCAUAAUGUGAUAAUGUGCGUGCAAGGUCCAGAUGUGAAUGUAUGAUGAAACGAAUUUGUUUGUAUUUGUAUUGUCUAUAAAUUAUUCGUAAUAUUAAUAAAAUUAUUUACGAUAAAUAUCAUAGUGAGGUUAGUGUUGUAUCAUUAGCGAGUUUAGAGUACGCCCCGUUGCGUUUGCCAGUUGCAGUUUUUAUAAAGUUAUCUGUCAAACAUGAUAGAUCAGUUUUCGCGCCAAAACACCAUGAACAAAGAUGGAGGAUUGCGUUUUGUUCAAACUUUUUUGUAUGUGCAAUUAGAGGUAUCUUUGAAUUAUUGAAGAAUAGCAAUUUAACAUUUUUUUUUUUGUAUAGAAUAGAUAUAUGCUUAAGUUAUAUAAAAAAAAAAUUCAUUUUACAUUAUUUAAAUUAUAAAUUCGCAUGAAUAUUUGUGAUUUUAUGCAGGUUCAAUUCAAAUGUACCUCAAUUGCUACUUUUUUUUAAUUCUUAUCAGUCAUAUUAUUUUUAAUUUUGACUUUUUUGUAAAUUAAACGAAUGGAUUUUGGGGUGAUGCAAUUAUUAGUUAUUACAUAAUGAUCUUACAUUAUUUCUAUAUUUAUCGAUUCGCACAAAUGUCGAAGACAUCUUGGAGAAGUACAGCAAUGAAUUAAAAAUAUGUUUUUUUUUAUUGGAUUUACUAUGUAGAUUACUUUUUUUUUGUAAGUAUAUCUCUAUUCGUUGAAAGAUAAUGGAAAUUAAAUGUGAUAAUUAUAGCGUUAUUUGAUAUCAAUAAUUGUAUGUCAUUCUAUUAAGAUUAUUUUCUCUAUUAUAAAUAUCCAAUAUAUAUACAUUGGAUGCUUUAAGUAAAGCAUUAUUAUAAAAUUUGUAUUUGUAUUCAAAUAAAUUGCUCAUAUCAUUCAUACAGCGAUAUAAUUUAGUGUUUAGUUGUAGUUUUUUUUUUUUUUCUAAAAUAUAUACUCUUUUUAAUUUUUAAUUUUGUGCAAUACAAUCAUCACAUACCUAAUCCUAAUACAUAUUCUGUGGAUAAAAUUAAACUUACUAAAUGCGUAUCAUUAUCUAUUCAGAUUGACAAUUAAAAACUUGGAUGUAUGAUUCCUGCCUUUGUCUUACAAAGAAUAAAAAAUUAUAAAAAAAUGUGUACAGUAGGUAAACUACCGCUGUAAAUACUUUUCCAAGUUAAAAAUGAUCCUAAUUUUUAGUUUAGUGACAAGUGUUAGUUGUACUGUUAAAAUUGUAACAAUUGAGGUGAAUUGAUAAUCCAAUGUGCGUGUUUAGUAAGUUUAGUGUUAAAUGUAGCAAAGAAAAAAAAAACAAUAAUAAUAUGUAUAAUCAAUCUAAGAAUUUUUGAAAUUGUUUUUUAUUUAUGGAUUUCGUUAUUUUUGUAUGGGGUUAAUUGGUUUUAUUUAUGAACUUUGUAAUACUCAAUGGAAAUUAGAUAAUAAUUUACUUUUCUAAAAUGUUUCAUAAUUAUUGCCUUUUUGUGUGUAAUCAAUGAUGUUUUAAUAAAAAAAUAUAUCAAUUCUGACACAUUUAUCAUAUCAGCCCCUAACAGUCCACUGCUGAACAUAAACCUCUCCCUUGGGGUGGUUUACCAGUAGUUGCCAUGCUUGGCGAGUGGAUUAACAACCGCAGUUAGGCUUUAGAGAUGUUUUAAGAGGGACGUUGCUGCCCAUUCUGCGUCUUUCCUUAGUUGCCUAUUACGACACCUACAGGAAGUAUUAAUUUUCGUAUAUCCUAAAUGUGGUACAAUAUUAAAGCUAUGGUGAUGCAAGUUACCAUUGACUCCCCGAGGACGGUGUGAAUUAAUUAAUACCAAAAUAUCUUUGUAAGUGUGAUGAUGAUGAUGAUGAUGAGUCCUGACCGUUUACAGUCACGGUGAUCACUUUGACUCCGCUAUUAUUAAUUGUUUGCAUAGAGGUCUGGUGUUGACAUUGCUUUGUUCGGAUGUGGUUUACAUAGCCAAUCUUUUUUAAUAAGGGUGCCUGCAUAUAUCGGGUAUGCAAGUACACCACGGUGUACUUGUAAGUGUUAUAAAUACAUUAUUAAAAUAUCAUUGGUUACCAUUUUCGAUCUCAUAAUUAUGUACGUCCACUCGAAUAUUAGUAAUUUGCUUAAGAAACAACGUAUGUACCGUUAAAUAAAAAGAAUGCCUCAGAUGAUGAUGGCGAUCUCCGUGGCGUGGUGGUGAGCACGUUGCAUUGCGUACAUAAAAAGCCCUGGUUCGAUUUCCGAUCGUGUCAGUAUGGGAAACAACUAUUUCUGAAUUGGCUCGCGUCUGCGUGUUUUGGAACGUGCCCUCAGUUACUCGUUGCUCGGUUUCACAAAAAUGGUAACCUAGCUUGAGGAUCAGGCGGUUAGAGUGAUGGAGUGAUGACUCUUGUUAUUAUUACGUUUAAACAAACGGCUAAAUUAUUUUUAUUCUUACAAGCCUUUAUCAUUGUUAUCAGAAUAUCCAAAUAAUAUAUACUAAUUGCUAUUUAUAUACGUUGUUUCAAAAAUGAAAUUUGGUUAUUUCCGUCCAAAACAUGUAUCCAAUUUUUUUUUAAUUGCUGACAAAUUAUUAAACAAAACGCAAUAAUAAAUUGUUUUAUUACUGUUCAAAAGACUAGGAUUAUUAUGUAGCUUUUUUAAAAUAAGUCGACAGUACCCCCACAUUCAUAUGAAAUUGAAAAUGUUCUACAAACCUAUUUUAACUAUCAGAGUAUUUUGUCUCUUUCUUUCAAAUUGAGAAUUUGAAGCAAAAGGCAAAGUAUGGGUAGCUAAAACAGGUUUAUUAAAGGUUUGACUUUAAACAAAAAUGGUUUAAUCCUUACGUUUUCGAAAUUUGUAUUGUUAUUAGAUCAAAAGGCAUAAUAUACUCAAAUGAAACAUUUACGCAAAUAUCCAAAAAGACUCGUACCCAUGACUGUAUACUGAAAAAAAAAAAUAGUAGCAUCGAGUUUUCCCGCGUAAUUUGUAUUGUUUAUUGUCAAUAAUACACGUUAGAGUAGUGAUCAGCUUUCUAUGAGUUUGUACUUUUAAGAACUCGAAGUUCGAUAAGAUUUGUAAUGCCCUUUCAAUGUUUAGUGUUUCAUAAAAAAUAUUGUUUAAAAGAAAAUUAAUAAAAACGAUAUAAAACAAUUUAAA